AUGGAGCUAUUCCAUACAGCUUUAGAGUAGCUGUUUGGGAGGUCCGGAGUUUGCUCACACUCAUUUUUAUUUGCAACCAAGUUUGAAAUUGGAGAUAGCAGUUUGACUUGAAAGUAGCUUUCUGCAUCCUGCACACGUGGUGGUCAGUCACAUUCUUAAGUCUGGGCAAAAAUACUAUCUCAUUUGAAAUACUUUUGGGCACACUGGAAUUCAGGGAAUAAUGAAGAGUCUGGCUACUACAGCAGGAGGCAUUAAAACAAGCCCAGAUCGACCGGAGGAGCCAGCUGAUGCAUCCUGAGAACAGCAGACUGGUCCAGGCACGUGGCAGAAAGCAACCACCAAGGUGCACCAACAGAGUAAUUUGCACAUGGACAGAAGUAUACCGGCCUUCUUCAUUUCAAUUUUCCAGAUACAACAAGUUAUAGCAUAAUUGGCUGCUGUGAGGAAAAAACAAGGGAAGAUUACAUCACUGCUUUAAGUACAAUGCUACUUCUCUUAGAGUCAGUAAAGAUUUGGGAUAUUUCCAAGCUGUAUCAACCAACUGUAUGAGCUUAUGAGGCAAUAUUUCUAUCCUUCACCAAUAUUUCUAAGUGUUAAGCCAAUAAAUUAUUAUGAUCCUUUUUUUUAGCUCUUGGA
rnacentral:lncRNA from 1 species